UCAGUGGAACAGAGUACAUAAAUAAGAUAAAUACAUAAAAGAAUAUUUAGCACUAAGAGCCAUCCUUCAUUUAUUUAGAUAUUCUAGGAGUAUUUAUAAGUGCCUACUCAUAGGCACUCCGCUUGGAGCUGGAGGUACAGUGGUGGACAACACUGAUGUGGUCCCUGCCUUCUGGGAGUUUACAGUCUGGUUAGGUCCCCCCGUGACACAAAUACAGAAGUAAAUCUCUAGAAGUGAGCUUAUUUUCUUCCCUCUAAUCUCUGGGGGAAAAGAUUGUAAUCUAGCUUGUAACUUCCAGAAGGGUGGAAACUUUCCUGUGAAUCACAGUGUAUGUUAGCAUCAUAGGGCUUGAAUGAAUGACAGUAUAAGAAAGGAUUUGAAGCACACAUUUGCUGUUUCUUAUUUCAUUCUCUCUGACAGAGUUUGGAAAAGAAUCUUGUUCUAGAAGAAUGUUGUUACCCCUUGGCUGUUUCCAGCAAAAUCUGAGAGCAGAGUGAAGAACUUGGACUGAUUAUUGAUGUAACACACACUCCCCACUAAUACAAACCAGAGGUCUGCCUGCCUGAGUUGAAACCCCAGCUGCCCCAGUUGCUGCCUCUUCACCUUGGGCCAGUUCUUGACACUCUCCAAGUCUGUCUCCUUAUGGGCGAAAUGGGGUGAGUGACUUCGUGGUGCUUCGUGACACAAUAUAAGCUCUCAUUAAAUGUAAAUGACCAGCAGAAACAACACAAAUGUCCAUGAACUGAGGAAAGCAUAAACAAGUGUGGUGGCUCCAUUAUGCAGUCAUACAAAGGAAUGAAAGACUGACACACACUACAACGUGGAUGGACGUUGAAAAACCUUCUGCUAAGUGAAAGAAGCCAGACACAAAGGUCACGUAUUGUGGUAUAUUUCAGAUGUGUGAAAUGUCCAGAAAAGGCAAGUCCGUAAAGAUAGAAAGCAGAUGAGUGGUUGCCGGGUCUGGAGAGAGGAGGGAGUGAGGAGCAGCCUCUAAUGGUUAAGAGGGUUUCUUUUAGGGGUGAUGAAAAUGUGAUGGGUUUGAUAAUGCUGGUGGUUGCCUGAGCUUGUGAAUGUACUAAAUGCCACUGAAUUUAGAGUUUCAAAAGGUGAGUUUUCUGGCAUGUGAAUUAUAUCUCAAUAAAAAUAAUUUUAGAAAUGUAAAUUACCAAUUUUCCCACGGUAAUUAUUUACUGUUCACAUCACUCCCCUCCAACCACUGCAUUCCCUUGUAUGCCUCCUGUCCCCCACGCUUCCCCUGCUCAGCCCCUCCAGGUGCCCCACAAGACUUCCCAGGGAGUGACUCUGGACCCUUGGGCACACAAGUCCUGUGCGGGUGGAGCCGCGACCCAGUGCACAGGCACACCCACCACUCUCCCGCAGUGUGACGGACGCUUCCGGCAGGUUUUUCUCAUGUGGUUUGGAGGACAGUGAUGUUGAGAAAAGGUGGCGACAGGCCAGGUGGAUUCAGGAGGACCUGGCAGGUCUCUCACGUCAAUACUUAUGAACAGACGCUUUUCUGAGGCAAAUAUACGAGUGGGCAGCAGGCUCAUGAAAAGGCAUGAAACAUGACUAAUUUUUAGGAAAGGGCAUUCAAAACCAAAAUGAGCUACCACCUCCCGCCCGUCAGAAGGGCUAUUAUUAGAAAAACAAGAAAUAGCAAGUGUUGGAAGGGUGUGGAGCAAAGGGAACCCUCAUAUAGUGCAGGUCAGAAUGUAAAUUGGUACAGCCACUAUGGAACAGAGAAUGCAGAUUCCUGAAAAAAUUGAAAAUAAGACUACCAUAUGACCCAGCUAUUCCACUUGUGGGUGUUUAUCGAAAGGACGUGGAAACACUAAUUGGCAAAGAUAGAUGCGCCCGUAUGUUGGUUGCAUCAUUAUUCACAAUAGCCAAGACUUGGAAACAACCUCCUAAGGGCCCACUGAGAGAUGAAUGGAUAAAGAAGAUGUGGUAUAUAUACAAUGGAAUCCUACUCAGUUAUCAAAAGCAUGAAAUCUUGCCAUUUGCAACAACAUGAGUGAACCCUGAGGGUGUCACGCUAAGUGAAAUGGGUCAGAUGGAGAAAGACGUAUACCUAAUACUUCACUCAUAUGUGGAAGAUAAACAAACACAUAGAUACCAGAGGGGAAAGCGGGGGAGGAGGAGGAAAGGGGUAAGGGGCAGAUGUGUAGGAUGAUGUAUGGCAAUUGGACCUUGGGUGGGAAAACGACAUAGUCUGUACAGAGGGGAAAUAGAAUGAAGUACAUCUAAAAAAAA